UUUGGUGAUUAUGGCAGAGAGGUUUCUCCCGUUCCCAUACCGAACACGGAAGUUAAGCUCUCUAGCGCCGAUGGUAGUUGGGACCUUGUCCCUGUGAGAGUAGGACGUCGCCAAGC
rnacentral:rRNA from 1 species